GAUGAACGCUGGCGGCGUGCUUAACACAUGCAAGUCGAACGAAGCACUUUAGUUGAUUUCUUCGGAUUGAUUCUAAAGUGACUUAGUGGCGGACGGGUGAGUAACGCGUGGGUAACCUGCCUCGUACAGGGGGAUAACAGUUAGAAAUGACUGCUAAUACCGCAUAACCCGCUAAGGUCGCAUGACCUGGACGGAAAAGAUUUANCGGUACGAGAUGGACCCGCGUCUGAUUAGCUAGUUGGUGAGGUAACGGCCCACCAAGGCGACGAUCAGUAGCCGGCCUGAGAGGAUGAACGGCCACAUUGGGACUGAGAUACGGCCCAGACUCCUACGGGAGGCAGCAGUGGGGAAUAUUGGGCAAUGGGCGCAAGCCUGACCCAGCAAUGCCGCGUGAAGGAGAAGGCUUUCGGGUGUAAACUUCUUUGUCAGGGACGAGUAGAAGACGGUACCUGACGAAUAAGCCACGGCUAACUACGUG
rnacentral:rRNA from 1 species